CUCACUGACUCUCGGUCUCUCUUUUUCGGUUGGAGCAUAUACAGCGUGACCGCAUCUAUGUGAUCCACCGUUAUUUCUGCACCGUGUUCCAGUAUUAUUACAUUUCAUGGUGGUGGGACUCCUACUACUCCGUGGGUGGGUCAGCCGACUGUCACUUUGUUUACGUCGCCUAUGUAAACAUGCCUCGUCUAAAUGAGCAUACAUUUUUAUGUAGUGCUUAAUUUUGUGUUUAUUUAUUAUUUAGAUUAUCGAAUUUACUGAACAAUAGUGUGUCAAGUGAAGGAUUAUAACUGUGAUAUAUGGAUAUUUGAAAUAGCAACAGAAAUGACAGAAACCGUAAAAAAUCGUAAGAAUUCAGACUUUGGCGUACCACUAGGAGAGAGUGACCCAGAAUGUGAAUCUCGAAGCAGUAAUUCUACAAAAACACCAGUAGUGAAAAAACGUAAGCGGUAUACAUUUGAGGAUAAACAGAAGAUAUUGGAAGAGUUAAAAAACUUAACCUCCCGUGAAAUAUGUACAAAGUAUGGCAUGAGCGAUCGUGUUCUUCGUAAAUGGAAACUUAACAAGAAUGUAAUAGAGGAUGCUGCCAACAAAAAUAGUACAAAAACAUUGAAAAAAGUUUCUAAAACGGAGAAACUUGAUGCUGAAUUGUUUGAGUGGUUUGAUGAUUGUCGCCGCAAUAGCAUUAUGGUUUCUGGACCAAUGUUAUGUCGACAAGCACUUGUCAUCAACUCCAGGAUUGGUGGCUCGGAAAAUUUCAAAGCUAGUAACGGAUGGUUAGAAAAAUGGAAAAAACGAACUCACAUCAAAGAUUUGACAAUUACUGGGGAGACACUGUCAGUCGAUGAGGAAGCAGUUAAUCUGUGCAUAGUAAAGCUUGCUGAGUUGAUAGCUAAGAAAAAACUUGACAGAGCACAAAUCUUAAAUACGGACGAGAGUGGUUUAACGUACAGAAUUAAUGUAAAUGAUUUACUUGAUCUCUUGAAAAAAGUUGAACGCUAGAAAGUGGUGGAUGCUGCCGCAGUAUUCAAUUUCAUUUGGAAAACUGACCAAGAAGGAGAUAUGGAAGAAUUCCAUUAGCAGCAAAACAUAUAUGCUCCAAGCUCUCAACAAAAAGAAAAUAAUGUUGAUGAAGCAAUGAAUACGCGAUAAGGAACGUCAGAGAAGAAACACACAGGAAGGAUAUCCAGAAUAGGAGAGGACAGUAAAAGAAGCUGUGGAACAACCAAGGAACUCUUCGUAAUAUGGGAAAAGGUGACAAGAGAAGCGCAGCUCCGCGUUCGGACGGUUUUUUGGACUCAA
rnacentral:misc_RNA from 1 species